AGCAGGCGCGCAAUUACCCAAUCCUGACAUAGGGAGGUAGUGACAAUAAAUAACAAUACUGGACUUUUUCAAGCCUAGUAAUUGGAAUGAGAACAAUUUAGAUCCCUUAUCGAGUAUCAAUUGGAGGGCAAGUCUGGUGCCAGCAGCCGCGGUAAUUCCAGCUCCAAUAGCGUAUAUUAAAGUUGUUGCAGUUAAAAAGCUCGUAGUUGGAGUUCAGAGUGAGCUCGUCCGGUCGGCCUUAUGGGUCAGAACUGGUUGACUCUCUCUUGUUUGUGGAUCCUGUCAGCAGUUAACUCUGUUGAUGUGGAGUCCACAUCGUUUACCUUGAAAAAAUUAGAGUGUUCAAAGCAGGCGUUUGCUUGAAUAUAUUAGCAUGGAAUAAUGGAAUAGGACGCUGGUUCUAUUUUGUUGGUUUUGAGAACCAGAGUAAUGAUUAAUAGGGACAGUCGGGGGCAUUCAUAUUUCAUUGUCAGAGGUGAAAUUCUUGGAUUUAUGAAAGAUGAACUUCUGCGAAAGCAUUUGCCAAGGAUGUUUUCAUUAAUCAAGAACGAAAGUUAGGGGAUCGAAGACGAUCAGAUACCGUCGUAGUCUUAACCAUAAACUAUGCCGACUAGGGAUUGGGCGUGGUUUGUUCAUUGACCCGCUCAGCACCUUACGAGACCUUAACCUACUAAAUAGUUACGCCGAUACUUUUGUAUCGGCGGACAACUUCUUAGAGGGACUAUCGGUGUUCAACCGGUGGAAGUUUGAGGCAAUA
rnacentral:rRNA from 1 species